rnacentral:tRNA from 1 species
GUCCCAGUAAUUUAAUAAAAAUACUGGUCUUGUAAGCCAGCAACGAAGGCAAGCUCCUUCCUAGGACA